UCACAGGGGGGCAGGUCCUGUACACUGGUGUAGUAUGUAUGGUACAUAUAGGUGAUCAUAGUAAUGGAUGGGUCACAGGAGGGCAGGUCCUGUACACUGGUGUAGUAUGUAUAGUACAUAUAGGUGAUCAUAGUGAUGGAUGGGUCACAGAGGGGCAGGUCCUGUACACUGGUGUAGUAUGUAUAGUACAUAUAGGUGAUCAUAGUGAUGGAUGGGUCACAGAGGGGCAGGUCCUGUACACUGGUGUAGUAUGUAUGGUACAUAUAGGUGGUCAUAGUGAUGGAUGGGUCACAGAGGAGCAGCUCCUGUUCACUGGUGUAGUAUGUAUAGUACAUAUAGGUGAUCAUAGUGAUGGAUGGGUCACAGAGGGGCAGGUCCUGUACACUGGUGUAGUAUGUAUAGUACAUAUAGGUGAUCAUAGUGCUGGAUGGGUCACAGAGGAGCAGCUCCUGUUCACUGGUGUAGUAUGUAUGGUACAUAUAGGUGAUCAU